CUUGCUCCUAGAAGCAUUGCAGGUCUGGCUGCUGUGGCACAUGUGUGUUAGUAGGUGGAAGAGGGGAGAGAGGCUAUGUAUGUCUAUGCUCAGUAUUCUUACCUGUGAACAUCUGAAUGAUCAAUAGUUUAACAUU